rnacentral:rRNA from 1 species
CGGUGGAGUAACCUACGCCCUCGAGGUGGGGGAUAACCAAGGGAAACUUUGGCUAAUACCGCAUGAUACCGAGAGGUCAAAGGGGGCUCGCAAGAGCUCUCGCCAUAGGAGGGGUCCGCGUCCGAUUAGCUAGUUGGUAGGGUAAUGGCCUACCAAGGCGACGAUCGGUAGCCGGCCUGAGAGGGUGAUCGGCCACACUGGAACUGAGACACGGUCCAG